rnacentral:lncRNA from 1 species
GGGCAUAGAGUGCCAGGCUGACGGAGAUGUUGUAGAUGAUGGUCACGUAGAGGUAGCCGCUGGUUACAUCAAAGUCACCAUCCUGGUAUUUGUCAAAGGCCUGAAGGAUGACUGUGCUGAUCGCCAUGAGGGGCUUCACCACACAGAACUGCAGGGUAGCCUGUUUGCAGAAUCUCAGGAAUCCAAUUGAAUAGGUCUUUCCCC